GGCUGGUCCGAGUACAGUGGUAUUUACAACUAAUUGAUCACUAUCAGUUACGAUUUGUUCCUUUUCCACUCCCACUAUUUCACGUGACUAGCCUAAA
ensembl:Y_RNA Y_RNA Y RNA